rnacentral:rRNA from 1 species
UACUCUUGACAUCCAGAAAAAAUAAACAGAGAUGCUUUGGGCCUUCGGGAACUCUGAGACAGGUGCUGCAUGGCUGUCGUCAGCUYGUGUUGUGAAAUGUUGGGUUAAGUCCCGCAACGAGCGCAACCCUUAUCCUUUGUURCCAACGGUCCGGKCGGGAACUCAAAGGAGACUGCCUGUGAUAAAGUGRAGGAAGGUGGGGAUGACGUCAAGUCAUCAUGGMCCUUCGAGUAGGGCU